rnacentral:rRNA from 1 species
CGACCUGCACAGGUGCUGCAUGGCUGUCGUCAGCUCGUGUCGUGAGAUGUUGGGUUAAGUCCCGCAACGAGCGCAACCCUUAUCCCUAGUUGCCAUCAGGUAACGCUGGGAACUCUGGGAAGACUGCCGGUGAUAAACCGGAGGAAGGCGGGGAUGACGUCAAGUCCUCAUGGCCCUUACAUCCAGGGCUACACACGUGCUACAAUGGCGCAUACAGAGGGCAGCGAAGCCGUGAGGUGGAGCGAAUCUUGUCAAAGUGCGCCUCAAUUCGGAUUGCAGUCUGCAACUCGACUGCAUGAAGUUGGAAUCGCUAGUAAUGGCAGGUCAGCAUACUGCCGUGAAUACGUUCCCGGGCCUU